AGGGGGAGGGAGCCGAACAGGCACCCUUCCCUCCAGCUUAUAGCCUGUUAGAGAAAUAUGCAGAAUCUCCCUUCAGGGAGGUCACAGCUGAGGUCAAGGCCACUUAUUAUUGCAAAGGUACUUGGAAUUGUACUUUUGAAUCUGGCCCCAUAGCAACCUCAAAUAAAAACAGAAUUCUGUAACUAAGGAGGAAGCACUCAGGCCAAAGAGAGGGCAACCUCAGGCUGCCUGUUGCGGCUGCCAUUCUGAGCACGGGACACCUUCAUGGCCCUUUUCACUGCUGGCUCUCUCCGAUCAGACCAUCCCACAGUAGCCUCAGGAAUCCGAUAGCCAGUUCUACUGUGGAAGCCGGCUUCAGACCCCAUCUGUCUUGCUGUCCCCAGAGACUGUCUAUCUGUUGCCCACAUACAUUCCAGAGCAAGUGAACACCAAGGGUUUAAAUGUGGGCACAUUUUCUACUGCAAGGAAGGAAAGACGAGUAAAGGAGAUAAACCCUGAGCUGCAGCCCGCCCGACGUCUGCCUUCUUGCAAGGAACCUGUGGAACCGGACUCCCUCGUAGCCUGGGAAGGAGCACCACACAGGAAAGGGGCUGUGCAUUUCAACUAGUUCUACCCCCAGCUGUUAAGACACCGGGCAAGACGCCCAGGGAAACAAGGUUUUGCCUGUAAACUGAAAAGAAGAGCGUCGGGAGGAAAUACCAGGGUGAGGUUCAUGGAGCAUAAGAGGCAAUGGGGGAGGCAGAGCACAUGCAUGUGUUGUGGAAGAGACGGAAUCAGGAUUCUGUGAUAUAGAAGGGAGCUGUGUGGUAAGACAGAAGGCCAGUGAUAGAUGGGUGCGCCCCACAGUGGCCGUGUAAAGGUGUUUAGGAAUGGAAGUAGCAGUUGGUGAGGCCCAGGAAGUGUCUGAAGCUGGG
rnacentral:lncRNA from 1 species